rnacentral:rRNA from 1 species
UACAGGGGGUGCAAACGUUGCUCGGAAUCAUUGGGCGUAAAGCGCGUGUAGGCGGUUCGGUAAGUCCGCUGUGAAAGUCGGGGGCUCAACCCUCGAAUGCCGGUGGAUACUGUCGGGCUAGAGUGCGGAAGAGGCGAGUGGAAUUCCUGGUGUAGCGGUGAAAUGCGCAGAUAUCAGGAGGAACACCAAUUGCGAAGGCAGCUCGCUGGGACGCUACUGACGCUGAGACGCGAAAGCGUGGGGAGCAAACAGG